AGAAUCAACGCUGGCGGCGUGCCUAACACAUGCAAGUCGCACGAGAAAGUGGAGCAAUCCAUGAGUACAGUGGCGCACGGGUGAGUAACACGUGAAUCAUCUACCUCCGAGUGGGGAAUAACCUAGAGAAAUCUGGGCUAAUACCGCAUAACACUUACGAGUCAAAGCAGCAAUGCGCUUGGAGAGGAGUUCGCGGCCGAUUAGCUAGUUGGCGGGGUAAUGGCCCACCAAGGCGAUGAUCGGUA
rnacentral:rRNA from 1 species